GGGGAUGAUCAGUCUCGACGGGGAAUGCCGGGAUGUCCUGCAAGCUGGGCGUGUCGUUGCGUCCAUAACACCCAACGAUAAACGACAGACGCCAACACUGUCACUCGCGUGAAAGAUGCGCUCGCUUCGGCGUUCCGCGUCCAAAACGCUGCUCCGGUCCUCGCCUAAGGCGAGCUUUCCGAGCCGAUCAACGUGCGCACCGCCUCUGUGCCGCGCUUGGUCGUCAACUUCUUGAGGCUUGAUGAUCGUUGUUGCCCACCAAUGAUCGUGACCAUGGCCCGGGCUUAACACGUGCUCAUUGUCGGCUCCUCGCCGCAUGUGUGACAUUCUUGAACCGACCAAGCUUGUGAAUGAAGGCUUUCUGUCAGAUCUUCGGACGGGGGUGCGAUUCCCCCCAUCUCCACCA
rnacentral:tmRNA from 1 species